rnacentral:tRNA from 1 species
GGGGUUGUGGCUCAGUGGUACAGCGCUUGCCUAGCAUGCAUGAGGCACUGGGUUCGAUCCCAGUCACCACA